rnacentral:lncRNA from 1 species
CUGAGCUCUACAAUGGUUUUUGUGAUAUUGGACUUAAACCCUCGAUUUUGAACUUAAACAUUCUGCCCAGAUUUCUCCUUCAUCGCGAAUGCGGCCUCACUCUCGCGUUCGCGUAGCACAAAUUACACUGCCUCUCUAAAAUACCCUUCGUAAAUGCGGACACAGCCACGUGAACGUGAUGCUUCGCCCGUCCAUCCCUUUCACGAAAUCGACACUAACCUUGCGAAUGCAUAGCACUAGGGCCUCGGGUCCAAGUCUGUUUCACCCUUCUACGCGAACGCGAACCAUGCCACACGUUCGCGAUGCACAAUUUGACUCAACCUUCGCAAAUGCGGGACCAACAUCGUGAACGCGAAGGGUAACUAGCCUACCACACUCAACAUCUCUUCGCGAACGCGAAGGCCCUCUCGUGAACGCAGAGAGCAAAACUCUGCAACACUGUUCUGAAAAAAUCUACAACUUUCAAAAUAAGAAUUUUAUCCGAUUAACCACCCGAAACUCACCUAAGGCCCCCAGGACCUCCACAAAAUAUGCCAACAUAUCUCAUAACAUCAUUCAAACCUGUUCCAAUCUUCGGUACGCUCAAAACACAUUAAAACACUAAAUUUACAUCGGAUUCAAGCCUAAGAAUUCCAAAAACUUUCAAAUUUUGCUUUCGAUCAAAAGGUCUAUCAAACCUCAUCUGAAUGACCUGAAAUUUUGCACACACAUCAAAAAGGACACAACGGACCUACUCCAACUUCCAUAAUUCCAUUCCGACCCCUAUACCAAAAUUUCACUUAUCAACCGGAAAACACCAAAAUUCCAAUUUCGCUAAUUCAAGUCUAAAUAUUCCACGAACCUCCAAAAUAUAUUUCGAUCAUACUCCUAAGUCCCGAAUCACCUAACGGAGCUAACCAAAUCAUAAAAAUUCAUAUCCGAGAUCAUAUACUAACAAGUCAAAACUUGGUCAAACCUUUCAAAUUUUAAGCUUCAAACGGAGAACUGUCAUUCCAAUUCCAUUCCGAUUACCCUGAAAAUCAAAACCGAUAAUUUACAUAAGUCAUAAUAUAUCACACAAGUCUAGUCAUGCCCGAGAACUGGUGAGCAAAGUGUAAAAUCUCAAAAUGACCGGUCGGGUCUUUAUAGUGGUCCUAGGGGCCGGGUUUGGGUGAAUUUCGGUAUUUUGGUCUAAAUUGAAAGAUUUUCGUGUGGAAUUGGUUCCUUGGACUAUAUUGAUUGCAUUGUAGUGAUUUUGGUUAGAGUCAAGACGUUUGGAGGCCGAUUCCAGAGGCAAGGGCAUCGCGGAGUAGGAUUUGGCUUGGUGAGGUAAGUAACGCUUCCAAACUUGGUUCUUAGGGUUCGAAAUCCCAAACUAUGUGUUACAUGAUUAGUAUUGAGGUGACGCACAUGCCACGUGAUGGGCGUGCGGGCGUGCACCAUGAGAAUUGGGACCUGGUUCAUUCCAUGGCACCGUUUAGUGACUCUUUCAUUUCGAUAUCCGUGUUUCGAUCACAUGAUUAAGUAAAUGAGCUAUAAAUUAUGCUAGAUAUCAUGUUAGAGCUUUACUCCGAUACUAUUGGGACCCAAGUGGUCGUUUCUUGCUAUCAUCUCACUAGUUUCAUUGAUAUUCUGUGUUCAGUCUUAUUCAUGUAUUUCAUAUCAUGUCUCAGUCUCAAUUGUUAUUUAUUGGCAUAUCAUAUCAUUGUUCCGGGCUAGUUUUCAUGGCAUUGUGAGCCCGUGUGUGAAACUGGAGAGUGAUGACAGAGUGAUACUGAGAGCCUCAUUAUGAGUGAUAGUUAUGGGAUCAGGCUGCACAUCACAACGGCUAUGUUGAUGAUUAUGAUAGCUCUUGGGCUGUAGGAGCCCCUCCAGAGUCUGUAACACACCCCAGUGAGCGGAGUUGAUAUUAUUGAGGGAUGGAUCUUCCCUGGACAUGGAUCUUGUCUGAAGUAUUUAUUUCGGGAGAUAGAUCUUCUCCAUAGGACUAGAAUGGCCUUCCUCGGUACUGAGUGACUGUUGUCAGUGAUGUGUGUCGACUUUCCUAGUUCCAUGAUAGGCGUCAUCACGAUCGGGUUAGUUUUGGAUUGUGACAAGUUGGUAUCAGAUCCUAGGUUACAUAGGUCUCCUGAGUCAUGAUCAGGUUUAGUAGAGUCUCGCGGAUCGGUACGGAGAUGUCUGUACUUAUCUUUGAGAGGCUACAAAACCUUUAGGAAAACUUCACAUUCUUGAAUUCUUGUAGUGCGAAUCUGUUGAUUCUCGUAACUAAACUUGUAUUAUUCUAUUCUCUCAUAGAUGGUAAAGACACGUGCUACUGGUCAGGAUGGACGACCACCAAUAACACCAAUUGGGGACGUGAAAGGCCGUGGUCGCGGUCGAGGCCAUGGCAAGGGCAGGGGUAUAGCCCGUACGGCUGCUAGAGCAGCACCUACAGAUUUACCAGCCGCCCUAGUUCAUGAUCACGUCCCAAUUGUAGAUGCUCCAGCGGGACCAGCUUAGGCACCGGCAGUGCCUAUUGUUAUCCCAGAUCUUCAGGAGACCUUAGCCUAGAUUCUGACCGUGUGCACCAGUCUUGCUCAGGCGGUCGUUGUUUCUACUAAAACAGCUACUUCCCAGGCCAGAGGAGGCAUUUAGACUCCCACCAGCCAUACACCUGAGCAGGUUGUUCAGGGACUACAGAUACCGGAGGCACCACCAGCCCAGCCGAUUGCACCUGCUCAACAUUAUAUGGUUCCGGUCAUGCCUGAUGAUGAGCAGCAUAGACUGGAGAGGUUUGGUAGACUUUAGCCUCCAGCUUUCGGUGGUACAGAGGGCGAGUAUGCACAUGGUUUCUUGGACAAGUGUCAGAGGAUUCUUCGUACAACGAGUAUUUUGGAGACAAGUAUGGUAUCUUUUGCUACCUUUCAGUUCUCUGGAGCUGCCUUUACUUGGUGGGAGGCUUAUGAGAGGCGUAGGCCUGCUGGUGCAAUGCCCCUUACUUGACAUCAGUUCUCCAUUCUCUUUUUGGAGAAGUAUGUGCUGCAGUCCCCCAAAGAGUAGUUGCGCAGACAGUUCGAGUACUUGCGUCAGGAUAAUAUGACCGUGAUGCAGUAUGAGAUGAGGUUUUCUGAGUUAGCCUGUCAUGACCGACCCCUAUACCAAAAUUUCACUUAUCAACCGGAAAACACAAAAAUUCCAAUUUCGCUAAUUCAAGUCUAAAUAUUCCACGGACCUCCAAAAUAUAUUUCGAUCAUGCUCCUAAGUCCUGAAUCACCUAACGGAGCUAACCAAAUCAUAAAAAUUCAAAUCCGAGAUCAUAUACUAACAAGUCAAAACUUGGUCAAACCUUUCAAAUUUUAAGCUUCAAACGGAGAACUGCCCUUCCAAUUCCAUUCUGAUUACCCUGAAAAUCAAAACCGAUAAUUUACAUAAGUCAUAAUAUAUCACACAAGGCUAGUCAUGCCCGAGAACUGGUGAGCAAAGUGUAAAAUCUCAAAAUGACCAGUUGGGUCUUUAUAGUGGGCUUAGGGGCCGGGUUUGGGUGAAUUUCGGGAUUUUAGUCUAAAUUGAUAGUUUUUCGUGUGGAAUUGGUUCCUUGGACUAUAUUGAUUGCAUUGUAGUGCUUUUGGUUAGAUUCAAGACGUUUGGAGGCCGAUUCCAGAGGCAAGGGCAUCGCAGAGUAGGAUUUGGCUUGGUGAGGUAAGUAACGCUUCCAAACUUGGUUAUGAGGGUUCGAAAUCCCAAACUAUGUGUUACAUGAUUAGUAUUGAGGUGACGCACAUGCCACGUGAUGGGCGUGCAGGCGUGAACCAUGAGAAUUGGGACCUGGUUCAUUCCAUGGCACCGUUUAGUGACUCUUUCAUUUCGAUAUCCGUGUUUCGAUCACAUGAUUAAGUAAAUGAGCUGUAAAUCAUACUAGAUAUCAUGUUAGAGCUUUACCCCGAUACUAUUGGGACCCAAGUGGUCGUUUCUUGCUAUCAUCUCACUAGUUUCAUUGAUAUUCUGUGUUCAGUCUUAUUCAUGUAUUUCAUAUCAUGUCUCAGUCUCAAUUGUUAUUUAUUGGCAUAUCAUAUCAUUGUUCCGGGCUAGUUUUCAUGGCAUUGUGAGCCUGUGUGUGAAACUAGAGAGUGAUGACUGAGUGAUACUGAGAGCCUCAUUAUGAGUGAUAGUUAUGGGAUCAGGCUGCACAUCACAGCGGCUAUGUUGAUGAUUAUGAUAGCUCUUGGGCUGUAGGAGCCCCUCCGGAGUCUGUAACACACCCCAGUGAGCGGAGUUGAUAUUAUUGAGGGAUGGAUCUUCCCUGGACAUGGAUCUUGUCUGAAGUAUUUAUUUCGGGAGAUAGAUCUUCUCCAUAGGACUAGAAUGGCCUUCCUCGGUACUGAGUGACUGUUGUCAGUGAUGUGUGUCGGCUUCCCUAGUUCCAUGAUAGGCGUCAUCACGAUCGGGUUAGUUUUGGAUCGUAAUAAGUUGGUAUCAGAUUCUAGGUUACAUAGGUCUCCUGAGUCAUGAUCAGGUUUAGUAGAGUCUCGCGGAUCGAUACGGAGAUGUCUGUACUUAUCUUUGAGAGGCUACAAAACCUUUAGGAAAACUUCACAUUCUUGAAUUCUUGUAGUGCGAAUCUGUUGAUUCUCGUAACUAAACUUGUGUUAUUCUAUUCUCUCAUAGAUGGUGAAGACACAUGCUACCGGUCAGGAUGGACGACCACCAAUAACACCAAUUGGGGACGCGAAAAACCGUGGUCGCGGUCGAGGCCAUGGCAAGGGCAGGGGUAUAGCCCGUACGGCUGCUAGAGCAGCACCUACAGAUUUACCAGCUGCCCUAGUUCAUGAUCACGUCCCAGUUGUAGAUGCUCCAGCGGGACCAGCUUAGGCACCGGCAGUGCCUAUUGUUAUCCCAGAUCUUCAGGAGACCUUAGCCUAGAUUCCGACCGUGUGCACCAGUCUUGCUCAGGCGGUCAUUGUUUCUACUACAGCAGCUACUUCCCAGGCCAGAUGAGGCAUUUAGACUCCCACCAGCCAUACACCUGAGCAGGUUGUUCAGGGACUACAGAUACCGGAGGCACCACCAGCCCAGCCGAUUGUACCUGCUCAGUAUUAUAUGGUUCCGGUCAUGCCUGAUGAUGAGCAGCAUAGAUUGGAGAGGUUUGGUAGACUUUAGCCUCCAGCUUUCGGUGGUACAGAGGGCGAGUAUACACAUGGUUUCUUGGACAAGUGUCAGAGGAUUCUUUGUACAACGGGUAUUUUGGAGACAAAUAUGGUAUCUUUUGCUACCUUUCAGUUCUCUGGAGCUGCCUUUACUUGGUGGGAGGCUUAUGAGAGGCGUAGGCCUGUUGGUGCAAUUCCCCUUACUUGACAUCAGUUCUCCAUUCUCUUUUUGGAGAAGUAUGUGCUGCAGUCCCCCAGAGAGUAGUUGCGCAGACAUUUCGAGUACUUGCGUCAGGAUAAUAUGACUGUGACGCAGUAUGAGAUGAGGUUUUCUGAGUUAGUCUGUCAUGAUGUUUGGUUGGUCCCUACAGAUAUGGAGAGGAUCAAUAGAUUCAUGGAUGGCUUCGCAUAUCAGCUACAAAUUCUUAUGACUAGAGAGAGAAUGUCCGGUGCUUCUUUUGAGGAGGUGGUUGACAUUUCCCGAGAGAUAGAUUCGGUUCGCCGCCAGGCGCGAGUUGAGAGGGAGGCCAAGAGGCCUCAGGGAUCUGGUAGUUUUGGUGGUGUUCCUUCUGAAGGUCAGUUCCAACACGGUAGAGGUCGUCCAUUCAGACAUGCUCAGUCAGCUCGUCGGGGUCACCGUGGUGGAUCAUUUGGCCAUGGUUCUCACAACUCACAUCACGGCCACUUAUCUCUCAGUGCCCUUUCAGCUCAGAGUUCGACUCAUGCACCAUCAGUUCAGGGAUCAUCUAUGCCUAGUUCUUCUAGUGGAUAUCCCGGUUCUCAGGGCUCCCUUCAGUCCCCACCGCCAUUUACCGGGAGAGGUUACUUUGAGUGUAGAGAUUUGGGUCAUAUCAAGAGAUUUUGUCCCUGCCUUAUGGGAGGUUCAUCUCAGCAGAGGAGUCAGCCUUUAGCUUCAGCACCAGUUACUUCCUAACCCGCCCAACUAGCUCGGGGUAGAGGUCAGUCAUCUAGGGGUCGCCCUAGAGGGAGAGGCUGAUCAGGUGGCGAUCAGGCCCGUUUUUAUGCACUCCCUACAAAACCGGAUGCUAUUGCUUCAGAUGCUGUGAUCACAGGUAUUAUAUCAAUUAGCCACAGGAAUGCCUUUGUAUUAUUUGAUCCUGGUUCCACCUUUUCAUAUGUGUCGUCAUAUUUUGCUCAUUAUUUGGAUACGCCCCAGAAGUCUCUUGUUUUAUCUAUUUGUGUAUCUAUUCCGGUAGGUGAUACUAUUAUUGUGGACCACAUAUAUCGGUCUUGUGUGGUGACCAUUGGGGGUUUAGAGAGCCGAGUAGACCUUUUGCUGCUUAGUAUGGUUUAUUUUGAUGUGUUAUUGGGCAUGGAUUGGUUGUCUCCGUGCCAUGCUAUUCUGGACUGUCACGCUAAGACGGUGAUGUUGGCUAUGCCGGGGGUGCCACGGAUUGAGUGGCGAGGUUCGUCGGAUUAUGUCCCUAGUAGAGUGAUCUCAUAUUUGAAGGCGCAGCGGAUGGUUGGGAAGGGCUGUCUUUCUUAUUUUGCCUUUGAGGGAUGUCCAUGCAGAGACUCCUACUAUUGAUUCAGUCUCGGUGGUGAGGGAUUUUCCGAAUGUGUUUCCUGCAGACCUAUCGAGCAUGCUGCUGGAUAGGGAUAUUGACUUCGGUAUUGAUUUAGUGUCGGGCACUCAGCCCAUUUCUAUUCCACUAUAUCGUAUGGCACCGACGGAGUUAAAGGAAUUGAAGGAGCAACUUCAGGAACUCCUUGAUAAGGGGUUCAUUCAGCCUAGUGUGUCACUUUGGGGUGCGCCUGUUCUAUUCGUGAAGAAGAAGGAUGGCACUAUGAUAAAGUGCAUUGAUUAUAGGCAGUUGAAAAAAGUCACAAUCAAGAACAAGUAUCCUUUGCCUCGUAUUGAUGAUUUAUUUGACCAGCUUCAGGGAGUGAGGGUGUUCUCCAAGAUUGACCUCAGGUCAGGGUAUUAUCAGUGGAAGAUUAGGGACUCGGACAUUCUUAAGACAGCUUUCAGGACCCGAUAUGGUCAUUAUGAGUUCCUUAUAAUGUCUUUUGGGCUGACCAAUAUCCCAACAACGUUCAUUCUUUUGAUGAACAACGUGUUUCAGCCUUAUCUCGACUCGUUUGUGAUUGUAUUUGUCACACCUCUUUUUUCACUACCCCGGGGAGGGUAUAAGGGAGUUUUUUCCAACUUAAAGUGACAAUCGAAACGGGAUUAUUUAUUUUAAAUUCAGAGUCGCCACUUGGGAUAAUUUUAUAGUGUCCCAAGUCACCGAUUUUAAAUCCUGAAUCGAGGAAAAGAUUGACUCUAUUUUACAGUCUGCGAACACAGAAAUCCGGGUAAGGAAUUCUGUUAACCCGGGAGAAGGUGUUAGGCAUUCUUGAGUUCCGUGGCUCUAGCACGGUCGCUCAACUAUUAAUAUUGGCCUAUUUAUUUGAUUUUAAAAUACUUUUGAACCUAUGUGCAUUUUUACUUUCUUUUAAACCGCUUUUAAUAAUCCGAUUGUUAUUCAACUAAUUACUUUGGUUAUACAUUGCGAAUCAUGUCAUGGGAACCGUACCCACAAUCUACAAUGUAUUUAUUUUAUCAACAAGAUUAAAUUGUGGUCAGGUCACAUAAAUGUACCCCCGGAUUUUGGAAAUUAAACGUCACAACUACGUCACAAGAACCAUACCCGUAGCUAUGACAAUUAUUUAACUAACGCGCCUAAAGCAAACUACGAGAAUUCGAGGCAUUUUUACACUAGUUAAGAUAACUAAUAUGAGGGCCAUAGAUUAUAGGAUUUUAUUAUGAGAGGAAUAAAACAAAUUAGUUAUAGGGAAGUGUAUUAGCUUGUUGCCUUAUUGAUAUUUGGAUCUGUCUCUAUUUAAACCCAUAUACACUUAAAAGGGUAAAUUCAUACAAGAUCAAACAAAAUAUUCAACAUUCCCAAAUUAACCGUGAAAUACAACCAAAGGCUUAAACUGACGAGCUCAUUACGACAAAACGAAGAAAAUUAACACAAACGUGAGCACGAAAACAUAUGAACACAAACACAAAACGUGAACCCAAAUGAAACAAAAUACAGAGAUACCUAAUGGGAACACAAACGCAAACGAAACAAAAUAAAAUAACAAUGAAACAGUAGACAAAACGUGAACACAAAGAUACCAAAAAAUAACAUGGCCAACAUGGUUUCGAUUACUUACAGAAUGAGAAUUUUCUAUUGCAGACCCACAAACAUAUGAAUUCACCAUAAUACAAUGAACAAUUAUUCAUUUAUAGUGGCUAGACAUAUAAAUACGAGAAAUUUUCCAAUUACAUGGCUACGGAUUUCACUUGGGAAAAUGUUAAUCAAACAUGACUGAUGAAAGCACACGUUAUAAUUGUAAAAUAAAUCCCAUCUUUUAGUGGCUCUUUCAAAGUUUGAUUCACAGUAAUUAGCAAAAUAAAGAGGAGUUAAUAUAAAUGAACUUGUUAAGUGCUUCUCCUUUAAUAUGUAAAGAAAUAUGUUUUGUAACAGAUUCAACAAGAUGAAGUCCCAAAGAAAAUACAGCAACAAUAUGAAGCAGGAAUCGAGAACCGACCUCUAACGGACACUCCAAAUCGAAAGCCCAUUUCAGCUUGACCCUAUCAUUGAAAAUAAAUUUCUGAAAUUGAAGAAUGAAGAGAGCAACGACUAUGGUAUUUUAAAAGGGGUGAGUCAGCUGCUUUUGAUUUUAGUCACUCCUGGUCCCCUCUGUUCUUCUUCUUAAUUUCCCCCUUUUCUAAUUUUUCAUCCAUUUUUGUGCAGGUCCGUUCUUUGCUUUUUCUCGGGUGUGCAUAUUUGAUCUUCUUAAAAUAAAGGGUGGAGGAGUUAUUAAGUGUGUAUAUGAUUAUAUGUGGCUUCUUUCUCAAAUCAGAGUUUGAAAAAUAUGAUGGGUUCAAAGAGAUUUCUUAGAAGGGGGUCCUUGCCGUAGAGGAAUUUUCUUCUUUUUGCUUUGUGUGGUCUUUUGCGGCUGUUUUGGUUGCCUCAGGGCUUUUGGAAUCAGUUAGGUCUUUGUGAUGGAGAAGAUGAUAAAUCUGAUUUUGGG